AGUGAACGCUGGCGGUAGGCCUAACACAUGCAAGUCGAACGGCAGCACAGUAAGAGCUUGCUCUUACGGGUGGCGAGUGGCGGACGGGUGAGGAAUACAUCGGAAUCUACUUUUUCGUGGGGGAUAACGUAGGGAAACUUACGCUAAUACCGCAUACGACCUACGGGUGAAAGCAGGGGAUCUUCGGACCUUGCGCGAUUGAAUGAGCCGAUGUCGGAUUAGCUAGUUGGCGGGGUAAAGGCCCACCAAGGCGACGAUCCGUAGCUGGUCUGAGAGGAUGAUCAGCCACACUGGAACUGAGACACGGUCCAGACUCCUACGGGAGGAAGCAGUGGGGAAUAUUGGACAAUGGGGGCAAGCCUGAUCCAGCCAUACCGCGUGGGUGAAGAAGGCCUUAGGGUUGUAAAGCCCUUUUGUUGGGAAAGAAAAGCAGCAGGUUAAUACCCCGCUGUUCUGACGGUACCCAAAGAAUAAGCACCGGCUAACUUCGUG
rnacentral:rRNA from 1 species